UACGUAGGGUGCGAGCGUUAAUCGGAAUUACUGGGCGUAAAGCGUGCGCAGGCGGUUUUGUAAGCCAGAUGUGAAAGCCCCGGGCUUAACCUGGGAAUGGCAUUUGGGACUGCAAGGCUUGAGUGCGGCAGAGGAGACUGGAAUUCCUGGUGUAGCAGUGAAAUGCGCAGAUAUCAGGAAGAACACCCGUGGCUAAGGCGGCUCUCUAGUACGGUACUGACGCUGAGACGCGAAAGCGUGGGGAGCGAACAGG
rnacentral:rRNA from 1 species